rnacentral:misc_RNA from 1 species
GCAAACUUGGUCAUUUAGAGGAAGUAAAAGUCGUAACAAGGUUUCCGUAGGUGAACCUGCGGAAGGAUCAUUAAAAAUUUUUUGAUUUUUAUGGAUCAAAAAAAAAAAUCCAUAAAUUCACCUUUUGUGCAACUAUUGAAAAAAUAUGUCACCUUUGGGAGAUUGGUUUUUUUUUUAAAAAAAAGAAAAAAUCUCCCGAAGGGUUAAAUUGAUUUACACUUUUUUUUUUGUAUAUCUGACUUGAUAAUAUAAUAAUAUAAAAACAACUUUCAACAACGGAUCUCUUGGCUCUCGCAUCGAUGAAGAACGCAGC